rnacentral:rRNA from 1 species
UACGUAGGGUGCGAGCGUUAAUCGGAAUUACUGGGCGUAAAGCGUGCGCAGGCGGUUUUGUAAGACAGAUGUGAAAUCCCCGGGCUUAACCUGGGAACUGCAUUUGUGACUGCAAGGCUAGAGUACGGCAGAGGGGGGUAGAAUUCCACGUGUAGCAGUGAAAUGCGUAGAUAUGUGGAGGAAUACCGAUGGCGAAGGCAGCCCCCUGGGGUCGAUACUGACGCUCAUGCACGAAAGCGUGGGGAGCAAACAGG